UAAGGAAUAUUGGUCAAUGGGGGCAACCCUGAACCAGCAACGCCGCGUGGAGGAUGAAGGGUUUCGGCUCGUAAACUCCUUUUAGGUGGGAAGAGCAAGGACGGUACCACCUGAAUAAGUCUCGGCUAACUACGUGCCAGCAGCCGCGGUAAAACGUAGGAGACGAGCGUUAUCCGGAUUUACUGGGCGUAAAGCGCGUGCAGGCGGUUAAGUAAGUCACUUGUGAAAGCGCCCGGCUCAACUGGGCGAGGCCGUGUGAGACUGCUUGACUUGAGAGAGGUAGAGGCGAAUGGAAUUCCGGGUGGAGUGGUGAAAUGCGUAGAGAUCCGGAGGAACACCAGUGGCGAAGGCGAUUCGCUGGGCCUUCUCUGACGCUCAGACGCGACAGCAUGGGGAGCGAACGGG
rnacentral:rRNA from 1 species